UACAGAGGGGGCAAGCGUUAUUCGGAAUUAUUGGGCGUAAAGGGCGCGUAGGCGGCCUUGCAAGUGACGGGUGAAAUCCCUCGGCUUAACCGAGGAACUGCCUGUCAAACUGCGUGGCUUGAGACCAGGAGAGGUGAGUGGAAUUCCCAGUGUAGCGGUGAAAUGCGUAGAUAUCAGGAGGAACACCGGUGGUGUAGACGGCUCUCUGGACCGUAACUGACGCUGAGACACGAAAAGCGUGGGUAGCAAACAGG
rnacentral:rRNA from 1 species